rnacentral:rRNA from 1 species
UACGUAGGGUGCAAGCGUUAAUCGGAAUUACUGGGCGUAAAGCGUGCGCAGGCGGUUAUGCAAGACAGAUGUGAAAUCCCCGGGCUCAACCUGGGAACUGCAUUUGUGACUGCAUAGCUGGAGUGCGGCAGAGGGGGAUGGAAUUCCGCGUGUAGCAGUGAAAUGCGUAGAUAUGCGGAGGAACACCGAUGGCGAAGGCAAUCCCCUGGGCCUGCACUGACGCUCAUGCAGGAAAGCGUGGGGAGCAAACAGG